AUUGAACGCUGGCGGCAGGCCUAACACAUGCAAGUCGAACGGUAACAGGAAGAAGCUUGCUUCUUUGCUGACGAGUGGCGGACGGGUGAGUAAUGUCUGGGAAACUGCCUGAUGGAGGGGGAUAACUACUGGAAACGGUAGCUAAUACCGCAUAACGUCGCAAGACCAAAGAGGGGGACCUUCGGGCCUCUUGCCUUCGACUGUGCCCAGAUGGGAUUAGCUAGUAGGUGGGGUAACGGCUCACCUAGGCGACGAUCCCUAGCUGGUCUGAGAGGAUGACCAGCCACACUGGAACUGAGACACGGUCCAGACUCCUACGGGAGGCAGCAGUGGGGAAUAUUGCACAAUGGGCGCAAGCCUGAUGCAGCCAUGCCGCGUGUAUGAAGAAGGCCUUCGGGUUGUAAAGUACUUUCAGCGGGGAGGAAGGGAGUAAAGUUAAUACCUUUGCUCAUUGACGUUACCCGCAGAAGAAGCACCGGCUAACUCCGUG
rnacentral:rRNA from 1 species